rnacentral:rRNA from 1 species
CCCUUAGAUGUUCUGGGCUGCACGCGCGCUACACUGAUACUUUCAGCGAGUCCACCACCUUGCCUGGGAAGGUGGGGUAACCUCUGGAAAGUGCAUCGUGAUGGGGAUCGAUUAUUGUAAUUAUUAAUCUUCAACGAGGAAUUCCUAGUAAGCAUGUGUCAUCAGCCCGUGCUGAUUACGUCCCUGCCCUUUGUACACACCGCCCGUCGCUCCUACCGAUUGAAUGGUCCGGUGAAGCGUUCGGACCGUGGCCUUUGGACGGUUCGCCGUCUGUUGGCUGCGGGAAGUUCGUUAAACCUUAUCAUUUAGAGGAAGGAGAAGUCGUAACA